rnacentral:rRNA from 1 species
GAUGAACGCUAGCUACAGACUUAACACAUGCAAGUCGAGGGGAAACGAUGAGAGAGCUUGCUCUCUUAGGCGUCGACCGGCGCACGGGUGAGUAACGCGUAUCCAACCUACCCAUUACAGGGGGAUAACCUUGCGAAAGUAAGACUAAUACCCCAUGGCAUUUUAUGGUGGCAUCAUUAUAGGAUUAAAGAUUUAUUGGUAAUGGAUGGGGAUGCGUCUGAUUAGCUUGUUGGCGGGGUAACGGCCCACCAAGGCAACGAUCAGUAGGGGUUCUGAGAGGAAGGUCCCCCACAUUGGAACUGAGACACGGUCCAAACUCCUACGGGAGGCAGCAGUGAGGAAUAUUGGUCAAUGGGCGAGAGCUUGAACCAGCCAAGUAGCGUGCAGGAUGACGGCCCUAUGGGUGGUAAACUGCUUUUAGAGGGGAAUAAAGUGAGCUACGUGUAGUUUAUUGCAUGUACCCUAUGAAUAAGGACCGGCUAAUUCCGUG